rnacentral:lncRNA from 1 species
GUCUCAUCUAUGUAAAUGAUGAUAAGGCCUAAUUUACUAAUAUUUUAAGUCUUCAGUAAGAUAAUAUACAUGAAGGUGUGUUUUAAGUAUUAUAAGCCUCAAAAAUGUCAGAUGUUUUCAUUAUUUCCUGCUUCAUCCUGUGUUUCCAGGCACCAUUUGAACUAGAAGAGCAGAUCAAUUCAAGUCAACACACCUCUUAGUCAUCCACUUCUAUGCAGGGCAUGGUGUUUGGUGCUGGGUGCAAAGGAGAAAGAGGCCACUAUUACUGUGUGUGAAAGCAUGAAGGCGUCUCCUGAUAACUGUGCAUAGCCUCAGAAAUGUCAACUGUUUCUGGGCUCUGGAGAAUCUGGUUGCCAAAAUCUGUCUUCGGUCUUGAAGUUGAAGUGGACACUAUCAAGAAUCUUUGGAUGAUGAUCACAGAAUGUUGAAUUGAAAACAUUUCCC